CGUGUAGGCGGGAAUGCAAGUCAGAUGUGAAAUUCCGAGGCUUAACCUCGGCGCUGCAUCUGAAACUGUGUUUCUUGAGUACUGGAGAGGAAAGCGGAAUUCCUAGUGUAGCGGUGAAAUGCGUAGAUAUUAGGAGGAACACCAGUGGCGAAGGCGGCUUUCUGGACAGUAACUGACGCUGAGGCGCGAAAGCGUGGGGAGCAAACA
rnacentral:rRNA from 1 species